rnacentral:rRNA from 1 species
UACGGAGGGGGCUAGCGUUGUUCGGAAUACUGGGCGUAAAGCGAGUGUAGGCGGUCUCAUAAGUCGGGUGUGAAAGCCCUGGGCUCAACCCAGGAAGUGCACUCGAAACUGCGAGGCUAGAGUAUCGGAGAGGUUGGUGGAAUUCUCGGUGUAGAGGUGAAAUUCGUAGAUAUCGAGAGGAACACCGGUGGCGAAGGCGGCCAACUGGACGAAUACUGACGCUGAGACUCGAAAGCGUGGGAGCAAACAGG